AACGAACGCUGGCGGCAUGCCUAACACAUGCAAGUCGAACGAAGGCUUCGGCCUUAGUGGCGCACGGGUGAGUAACGCGUGGGAAACUGCCCAUUGGUGGGGAAUAACGACGGGAAACUGUCGCUAAUACCGCAUAAGCCCUUCGGGGGAAAGAUUUAUCGCCGAUAGAUGUGCCCGCGUCCGAUUAGCUAGUUGGAGAGGUAAUGGCUCACCAAGGCGCAGAUCGGUAGCUGGUCUGAGAGGAUGAUCAGCCACACUGGGACUGAGACACGGCCCAGACUCCUACGGGAGGCAGCAGUGGGGAAUAUUGGACAAUGGGCGAAAGCCUGAUCCAGCAAUGCCGCGUGAGUGAUGAAGGCCUUAGGGUUGUAAAGCUCUUUCGGGUGGGACGAUGAUGACGGUACCACCAGAAGAAGCCCCGGCUAACUUCGUGCCAGCAGCCGCGGUAA
rnacentral:rRNA from 1 species